rnacentral:rRNA from 1 species
CACGUAGGCGGAUCAUUAAGUCGGGGGUGAAAUCCUGGAGCUCAACUCCAGAACUGCCUUCGAUACUGAAGAUCUCGAGUCCGGGAGAGGUGAGUGGAACUCCGAGUGUAGAGGUGAAAUUCGUAGAUAUUCGGAAGAACACCAGUGGCGAAGGCGGCUCACUGGCCCGGUACUAACGCUGAGGUGCGAAAGCGUGGGGAGCAAACA